GUUGUUGGUUCUGGAGGAGCUGCAAAGAUGGAGGAACGGGAGUCGUGACGGGAAUUUUUUUUUUAAAAAGCAAAAAAAAACAAACACCACACACAAACCUAAUAAAGAAACGGUACCUUUUGUACACCCGUUCCAUGGUAACCUGUUUCGCCACCAGACGCUCAAGAUUGGUCUGUGCAGGAGGGAACUGUUGUCAGCGCGAUUCAGAAGAGCCCACCACUGAUGCCUUCAAUGUAACAGAAUGUCAGAGGAAGAAGAUCCCCUUUAGUCCGCAUUCCCCUUCCCCAAACCCCUUUCCCUUCCCCUUUUUCCCUUCCCCAUGAAUACAAGCACUGCUUAUCCCUUGGUUACAAGACUGUGGAGGGGCUUAUAGUGAAGCCUAUUUUUCUCAGCUUGGUGAAGAACUGCAGCAAUUGCAACUAUUUGAUUCAUGAACUCCCAAAAUAGUCCAGACGGGGUUACCAGUCGGGAGCAGCCAUUAGAACUGUUGGCCAGAAGCAGGAUACAUGCCAUUCCUGCCACAGGUG